AAUGUCAUCUCCUCAUUUUCACACCGGAUAUCUGCUGUCGCGAUCUCGCACGCCGGUGGAGAGCCCGACUCCAACUGCGAGAGACACAGACAGAAGGCGAGGGAGGAGGGAUGCACGUUCAACCCAGCGAUACCGAAUUCACGGGGGGGGGGAGGAGGAAGAGGGGAGGGAACAUCAUCCACGGUGGCACGGCACCUUCCGCGAGCCUCCCCGUGUGCCGGCCCCACCCGCCGCGAACGGGGCCGCUGCCUCCUUGCAAACUCCGCCCGCAGCGCGGCGGCCGCGAUCGGCAGCGAGAACCCCCGGGCGGGCUCCGGGCUCCCACACGCCGCGCAGCGCCCGGACGGCGGCGGCGGCGGGGGAACGAACGCCAGGCAGCCGCGAUCCAGGCACAGCCUGAUCCCCAAGCGAGGAACGAAAUACGGCGUUAAUCGCAGCCUCGCUGAGAAAAUUGCUAUUGUUCCAGUCAAAGGCAGGCGGCAGUUUGAAAGGGUUUAUCCUCGAAGCGCUCUAUCAGUUAAUCUGCAGCGCGGAACCAAACCGACAGCUCUCGAGGCUGCGACAGGGGGGGCUACGCUUCCAAAGAAGAAACAAGAGGAAGGAGAUCAAGUGCGGGUUUCCCGCCCCCCGCCCUCUCCUCCCCGCCGCCCUCGCUCCCCGCCUCUGAGUUUCCCUUACGCCGGGGCGCAGCGCUGGGAACCGAAGCCAGGAGAGCCUCCCAGGCGCGGCGAGCCGGGACGUGCUGGGUGCCGGGCACACGCACACUCACACGCGCACACUCACACGCGCGGAGCGAGGCGCGCCGCCACCAGCGGGCGGGGAAGGGGCGCGCGGGGGCGCGCACACGCGCCGGCCCCCACGGAGCUGGCACACGCACACGCGCGCACACGCGGCGGCGGAGCCGCGCUCGCUCCCGCCGUACUCCCUGCGCGGCCGGCGCUCGCUCCGCUCCCCGCCAUCGGCAGCCAAGGACCCCCCCGCCGCCGGCCGGCCGCUGGUGCCCGCGGGGGGAGGAGGAGGGAGGCAAGAGGAAUAAGCCCAUUAGUAAUAACAGCAACAGCAAAACCCACCACCACAUCUGCACUCGCGCCUCAGUCCUCCUCUCAGACCGUCGCCUGCCUGGCAUCGCCUCUCAUCGGGCUGCUGUGCUGA
rnacentral:lncRNA from 1 species